CCUCAGUGGCGUUCUUCCUAGGCUACAGCACCUAAACCAACUGAUUUCCUCAGGGAGACUAACAUCUCAUUCAAACCACAGCAGCCUGCGAAAGCUAGGCUUCAUUCUUGUGUGUGUGUCCAGGAUCUUUCGUGGGCCCAAAGAAGUGAAGAGGGUCUUUACUGCCUUACCGCUAGUAUUUGCCACAGAAGCAGAAGCGAAGACAUCACAUCAUGAUGCUGGCUUCUGCUGCAUGUAAAGGCUAUGCUGUGGUGCUGUGCUAUGACUUAUAUGGGCCAUAGCAUGCAGAGAAAGAAUAUUUGAUUAAGGACCAAGACAUCUUACAGAAGAAAGGGUUUACAGUUCCAGAGUGAUGAGCAUUCCUGGUGACAGAGUUGAAGCAUGGAGCAUGACAGCAAGUGACAGGCAAGACUACAUAGACAAGGAGGAAACUGAGAGCUCACACUUGACAAAGCAGAGAAUGCGAACUGGAGUGUAAACUGAAGACCAGAAGCUGACCUUUGGAGACAUCUAGUCCAGCAGAGCAGCUGCUGCAUUCUCAGUAUCUUCAACGUGAGACAACCAUGUCGGAAAACCCAACCCAUAUCACUUUCAGGUUCUGAUGUCACUGUCUGGCCCAAGGCCCCUGCAUGCAGUGGUGCUCCUGCAUAUGAACUCACAUAAGCGCAAGCAAACACAUAAAAACAAAAAGAUAAAGUUUCACAGCGAAACAUUCACACCACAGCAUGGACGCUUCUCUCUGCACUUGGACAUAUUUUCAGUGGAAAGAAGAGAAUGCAGACAAAAAAAGUCAGAUGCUCCUGUCAAUGCCUGCCUGUGGAUGCCAUCACCUCCGUAGGCCACAAGUUCACGGGAAGUAGAUCCCUGAACAUCUCACACCUCACAACGGUCGUCUAGGCUAGAUGAAAUAGCUCUUCUGCCUUGAAAGAUCUCCCGAGUGUGUGUCAGCCACCUGUGAGUCCAAAGCCUUACCAACUGACUCACUUCUCUGGAAACGGCCUCAACUUUUCGAUUAUUAUUAGGAAUGUUUUGAAUUUUUAUGUUAAUGGCAGAGAGAAAGUAGAACAAAGAAGAAACGGGCCUGUCAUCUAAGCUGAGACGAUAAUCAAUAAUGAAAACGCAGGAAUGGCACAGCCUCGUCGUCUAUGCACAUAUAUUUUAUGGGUUUAGGUUCACACUCUCCUGAGACUGUUGAAGUCUGUGUUUGGACCCCAAGUCUCAAGAACCAGUUCCCCCCAUUUCAUUAAUAUUUCUUUGUAGUUGUAGUCUAAUACUGAUCUAUGAUAUUUUGCCUAAUCGUUCACCUCUUUCGGGCAUUUUAUAACCUCCUUUUUGUCCCCCCUCUUCUUCCUGACUGUAGGUCGUGCUUAAAUAAACCAAUUCAUACAAGUAGC
rnacentral:lncRNA from 1 species